GUGAGGAAUCUUGCGCAAUGGGGGAAACCCUGACGCAGCAACGCCGCGUGAGUGAGGAAGGUCUUCGGGUCGUAAAGCUCUGUCAGGCGGGAAGAAAUGCAUGGAGGUGAACAGCCGCCAUGCUUGACGGUACCGCCAGAGGAAGCACCGGCUAACUCCGUGCCAGCAGCCGCGGUAAUACGGGGGGUGCAAGCGUUGUUCGGAAUCAUUGGGCGUAAAGAGCGUGUAGGCGGCUUGGUAAGUCAGAUGUGAAAGCCCUGGGCUCAACCCGGGAAGUGCAUUUGAAACUGCCAGGCUCGAGUAGGGGAGAGGGAAGUGGAAUUCCUGGUGUAGAGGUGAAAUUCGUAGAUAUCAGGAGGAACACCGGUGGCGAAGGCGACUUCCUGGCCCUAUACUGACGCUGAGACGCGAGAGCGUGGGUAGCAAACAGGAUUAGAAACCCGAGUAGUCC
rnacentral:rRNA from 1 species